UGAAUUAGACAUGCAAACAUUUGGGAAAAUGUUCAUGAAGAAAAAGCAAAGAACAGGGAAGAGUGUGUCUCAGGUCAUGUUGAGAGUCCAGUACUUUUGGGAAGGGAGAAGGAAAGGGAGCUGAGCAGGAAAAGUCACAGAACGGAGCAAUUCUAAGCUGGAUUCUGCCAGAACCGUGGGGAGUGUUUGUGGAAGUCCUUGGUCUCCAGCAAUGGGCCUGAUUACUGGAUUCGCUGGGCUCUUGUAGGAGUCUGGAGCAGUCCCCAGGGAUCAAACUCAGGACCUUAUGCUUGCGAAGCAGACAACAGAACCACUGAGCAGCUGUUGUUUCACGGCAUAUUUGGAAGCAUCUUUUCUUCAGUGGUGCCGACUUGUGAUGUGUCUGCCAGUCCAGAGACUCGGCAUUGCCGAGCUCCUGGUGCCAGGCUCUGAAGAAAUGAUCAUUUCUGCCUCUGGAAGAAUGUGAGGAAAUCUUAUUUUUAGUUCUUGUCUUACACACUUAAAAAUGAGGCUUGAAGAGAUUAAAUAAAACCUUAAAAGGCAGGUAGAGAGUUGAAGUUUCUGAAGGAAGACAAGGGAGCAGGACCAAGACCACUCCAGGGAGGCCUUCUGAGCUUGUUGUACAUUUCCCAUCCACUCCUCAGACUGUUUUUCCCAGACAACAAAAAGUAUCAUCUGAAAUGUUACCAGAUUUUAAUGAGACUUCUGGUGCUGAAAGAAAACAAAACUUAAGUGAAGAUCAAGAGGAGAAACAGAAACCAAGAGUGAAUGAAGGGUUUAAACCAGUAUCUCAAGGACGAAUGAAGAAGUUAAGGAAACAGAAACAAAGGGAAGAACAAAGAGAACUCCGCAAACAAAAGUGGAAAGAAAAAUGCAAGGGAAAGAAAUUAGAAUGACAAUGUCAACUGGAAUCAAACCCAGAUGGAAAUGACAGAAAACGUGUUCAAAGACAAGUCAUCCAGAGCACACUCUGCCUUGUCAUUGACUGCCAUUUUGAUGAUUUGAUGGUCUUACAGGAUAUUAAGAAACUUCAUAGGCAGAUUCAGCGAUCUUAUGCAGAAAACCAAAGAGCAUUGCACCCCAGCAGAUUUUCUUGACAAGCCAUGGAGGCCAGCUGAAAAGGAACAUGGAUGACAAUGACAAAGGAUGGGUCAACUGGAAGGAUAUCCACAUCAAACCAGAGCUCUGUAGUGAACUCAUAAAAAAAGAAGACCUUGUGUAUCUUACAUCAGAUUCCCCUAACACACUGCAGGAAUUAGAUGAGUCAAGGGCCUAUGUGAUUGGAGGAUUGGCAGACCACAACCAUCACAAGGGAUUCACGUAGAAACAAGAUCGGAUUAUGGGAUUGAUCAUGCUCAGCUCCCCCACAGAAAUUCUGUGAAGAUGAACAGUCGGAAAGGUCUGACAGUUGAUCAUGUAUUUGAGAUUAUCCUGGAAUACCUGCAAACAAGAGACUGGCAAGAAGCAUUUUUUUACUAUCUUACCCCAGCGGAAAGGAGCUGUCUCCACAGACAAAGCCUGUGACAGUUCCUCCCAGGACCAGCAGGGUGCUGGGGCUGAAGGUGGACUGGACAGUGAGGCGGAAUGCUGCAGGAAUCAACCGGAUUCCCCACAUCCAGAGGACGCGCAGGAUGAGGAAAGCCACUGAGUCCACGUGAGUCCGCCCCGCUAACACUACCUGGUUCCCUCUGAGCUUAGGGACACAUUAGGAGGAGGUGACAAAUGAGGUGCUUCACAGAACUGUCGGCUUGUAGAAGAAUGUUAUUUUCUCUUAUUUAUAUUGUGAAUUUAAAACUUAUGGAACUAAAUAACAAAAG
rnacentral:lncRNA from 1 species